rnacentral:tRNA from 1 species
GGCUUCGUAGCUCAGCUGGUACAGCGCUUGCCGCGUAGAGGCACGGUGUUUCUGUCGCUGGUUCGAAUCCAACCGAAGCCC